UGAAUCUAAUAUUGUAAUAUUUUGGAUUUGUGUUGGUGUAAAUACGAGGCAGGCAUAAGUUGAUCGGUAAAGACCCUGGAAGCAGCCCCUUGCUGUUCGUGAAGCUGAGAGAAUGAGAGUCCCACAUCCCGGGUUGAUAGAAGCACGGAAGUGUAUCUGAUACGUGGAUCAAUAGUUCACAUGAUAUUAAAUUAAUUUUUUAAAGAGAGCUUUGUUACUGCAAUGUCACAAAUCAUCAACUUCAGCUGUUUUAGCCUCCAUACUCCAAAAUACCGGAUACAAAAGCCACAUUCCCAGAACCAGUUGUUCUUGCUGAGAUGGAGAGAUGGUUUAUAACCCGGAAAUCAAUGAAGCAGCAGCACAAUAUGACGCUAGCAGUGGACAUUGUUGCAUUCAAACACUAGUUAAGCAAGCGCCAAGAUCAGGAUCGGUAUUGUGAACAGAAGCAGUUAUGAGUUACCUAGAAGAAGAAAUGAGUAAGUUAUAAGAAUGGUUAAUGCGUAAUUAAUCACUUGAAAGAAGCCCCUACCUCAAACAUUCAGCAAUGUAUUAAGCUAGUGCUGUAAUGUUAAACUCAGUUGACUUAUAGGAGAUGUUUAUACAA